rnacentral:rRNA from 1 species
AUUGAACGCUGGCGGCAGGCCUAACACAUGCAAGUCGAGCGCCCCGCAAGGGGAGCGGCAGACGGGAGAGUAACACGUGGGAACGUACCCUUCAGUUCGGAACAACCCAGGGAAACUUGGGCUAAUACCGAAUACGUCCGUAAGGAGAAAGAUUUAUCGCUGAAGGAUCGGCCCGCGUCUGAUUAGCGAGUUGGUGGGGUAACGGCCCACCAAGGCGACGAUCAGUAGCUGGUCUGAGAGGAUGAUCAGCCUCACUGGGACUGAGACACGGCCCAGACUCCUACGGGAGGCAGCAGUGGGGAAUAUUGGACAAUGGGCGCAAGCCUGAUCCAGCCAUGCCGCGUGGGUGAUGAAGGCCCUAGGGUUGUAAAGCCCUUUCGGCGGGGAAGAUAAUGACGGUACCCGCAGAAGAAGCCCCGGCUAACUUCGUGCCAGCCGCCGCCGUAAGAC